GUGUGUACGGGUCUGUAUGUACACGUGUGUCUGUAUAUAUAUAUACACACACACACACACACACACACACA
rnacentral:miRNA from 14 species